GUAACUGCGACUUAGCCUUUUUGGGACACAAUGUUUCUGCUGACUCCCGAAAAUUUUCCACUUGAAUGUGCAAUUAAGCAGCGGCGGCGGCGGCGGCGGCGGCAGCAGCAGUUCUAGAGAAGCAGUAGAAAAGAACAUGCCUUCUUUCAUCUUUUAGAAGCCCCCCAAGUCCCCCAAACAGCACCACUGUCAGAAGCAGCCCGGAAGCCCGAGGUGCCUCCCCGGGUGACAAUUAGCCAACCUGAUGAACUACAAAAACCAUUUUCACCCCAAUUGUCAAGUAUGUGCAUUUGACCCAAACUGGGACUCCUCUUCUGUGUUCCCCAGUCCCCUGUGACCACAGAGUCUCUCUUUCCCUGACUCAAGGGUUCAAGGGCAAUGAGGGUUAAGUAACUUGCCCAGGGUCACACAGCUGAUUUUUGGGGUGGAACUGAAGAAGAAAAAAACAUCUGAAGAGACAGAGGGAAAUUACAUCCUAGGCCAAGACGUUGGAAAGUUGAAGAAUGUGACAGAGGAGGAGGGGAAGAAAAAUGACAAUUGGACAUAUGGAACUAAGCAAUAAAUAGGAAACCAUUCCACUAGGGGGAAUUUGGUUGUCUUGGGGGAAGCAGCUUUUUGUACUCCAAAGAAUGGUGAUAUAGAUAUAGAACUCAUGACUUUAGAACAAAUAUAGGCAUACUCUGUUGAUUGGAAUGCAAAUGUCUGGAACACAGUUACCUCAUAGAAGAUUGGAGCAACAUGUUUCCGAGCCCAAGCAAUUUUUACUCUAUAUUGUAUGAGUCCAAGCAAUUUUUAUUCUAUAUUGUGUCUAUACACAGACCAGUGCCUGGCCCUUAACUAAGGCCCCAGAAGGAAAAUCAGGUUGGUAGUGACAGAAGAAGUAGUCAGGGCAGUGACUGAGGAUGAUGGAGGAGCUGAAGUAGCUCCUGAAGAGGGGGAAUGUAAUGAAGAUGAAAAGAGGGACAGUCAGUGCCAGGGCAUUUUUUUUUGUCACCCAAAGUAUUUACCCUAUAUGCUGGGUCUUUAUCUUUGGGAAGAUUACUUUAAUUACUUUUAUCAGAAAUUUAAGAAAAUGUGAUGAAAAAAUUUAUCUGACUAAAAAAAGAAACAUCUUAAAUUCUGCUCUUCCUAGGAUUUAGAGACAAAAAUAAAAACAAUAUGGCUAUGGAGGUUGUGGU